AUGGCGAACCAGGGAGCAUCAUCGGCUUCGGGAUCCAAGGGGAAGGGAAAGCUGGAGGAUCUAAUGAAGGAGCUGGCCCUCAAGGAAGACGACCUCGAUGACGUUGUUUUCGAGGAAGAUGACGCCCCGGCAGAGGAGGACCUCCGCUGGAUGAUCUUGGCCAGAGUCCACAUGGACAAAGGGUUUAGCACCUACUGGUUCUUUCACAAUAUGAGGACGGCCUGGGAGCUUGCUAGGCCGGUCAAAAUCAAAACCCUGGAGGAGAACCUCUUCCAGAUGCAAUUCAAUUGUCUGAGCGAUUGGGAGAGAGUUACCUAA
rnacentral:rRNA from 1 species